AUUUCUCAAACACUGAGCUGCCUUUUUAACUCCCUGAGUCAUGUUUGACUCACAGCUAGAUUUUAUAUGUUGCUUCCUGGUUGUUAGGGGCUAGAAUCUGUCUUAAACUACUAGAUUUUCUGUGGUCACUGUUAGAGCUCCCCAUAGCCACCCCCACCCCAUCCAUCCAGUGUGAACCGGUCAUCUGUUAGAGCCUCAGGAAAGUCCAUGGAGAGCCGACUAGAUUUCCAUGGAUACAAGCAAACCUUUUGUCCUGCCGUUUACAUUUCUCUUGAGCAAUCAACUUCGAUUGACAGGAUGCCUGCUAACCUCCUCCUCCCCCUCCUAACUCUUCCACAAAGGGUGCUGAGGCAUAAAAACUCUGGAAACCGGAAUGGCCUGUGAAGUGAAACAGCUCCUGAGCAGAAAGUAUCUUGUGUCAUGAGUCUACGGAUCCAGGGCAGAAAGAAAAAUGAUCAACGCUGCAUCCUGAAAACACACGCUUUCCAUUUUUAUCUCCUUCCGGUUUUUAUCCAUGUAUAGUACCAAUAGCUGUUAAAUCAAAUUUUUACUGCUGUCAAGUGUCCAGCAGACUUGCUAGGAAGUCCAGUGACAUCAGAAUAAAGGCACAGGCUUUGCUGCUAGUCUCUGUGACUUCAGGACUAAAUAAUUGGCCUCUUUUCCUAUCAUAAAUAAAUACUUGGCUUCAGAAGUACAAUUUGUAAACCUUAUCACUAUGGACUACAUUAAUACUUCUAAAGUAAAGUACACGUUGAAAAACUAUUUUUCUGUUAUGUUUCUUCAAAGUUUGCUGAGAAUGCCUUUAGUUAGAACUUCUUAAAAUGUAUUCAAGAACUACACUUUAAUAUCUUGAUAUGUAUUCAAUGUUUGGGAGUUUAUUUUUUGGCUGGAGGGGGCGUUGUUUGUUUGUUUUUGGUUUGCCUUUCUUUUUUCAUCCCUGUGGAAAUAACUGCCUGCUUCUAUGUCAGAGAAAAUGACGCUCAUCUCCCCUGAUUCUCACUUGCACUUUUGUUUCUUGCAAUCAAAGAUUCCUUAACUAAAAACCCACCAGCAUAAAAUUCCUAUUGGCUUAA
rnacentral:lncRNA from 1 species